rnacentral:rRNA from 1 species
GACGAACGCUGGCGGCGUGCUUAACACAUGCAAGUCGAACGGAAAGGCCCUGCUUUUGUGGGGUGCUCGAGUGGCGAACGGGUGCGUAACACGUGAGUAACCUGCUCUUGACUUUGGGAUAACUUAAGGAAACUGGGGCUAAUACCGGAUAGGAGCUCCUGCUGCAUGGAGGGGGUUGGAAAGUUUCGGCGGUUGGGGAUGGACUCGCGGCUGAUCAGCUUGUUGGUGGGGUAGUGGCUUACCAAGGCUUUGACGGGUAGCCGGCCUGAGAGGGUGACCGGCCACAUUGGGACUGAGAUACGGCCCAGACUCCUACGGGAGGCAGCAGUGGGGAAUAUUGCACAAUGGGCGGAAGCCUGAUGCAGCAACGCCGCGUGCGGGAUGACGGCCUUCGGGUUGUAAACCGCUUUCGCCUGUGACGAAGCGUGAGUGACGGUAAUGGGUAAAGAAGCACCGGCUAACUACGUG